rnacentral:rRNA from 1 species
GACGAACGCUGGCGGCGUGCCUAAUACAUGCAAGUCGAACGCUUCUUUCCUCCCGAGUGCUUGCACUCAAUUGGAAAGAGGAGUGGCGGACGGGUGAGUAACACGUGGGUAACCUACCCAUCAGAGGGGGAUAACACUUGGAAACAGGUGCUAAUACCGCAUAACAGUUUAUGCCGCAUGGCAUAAGAGUGAAAGGCGCUUUCGGGUGUCGCUGAUGGAUGGACCCGCGGUGCAUUAGCUAGUUGGUGAGGUAACGGCUCACCAAGGCCACGAUGCAUAGCCGACCUGAGAGGGUGAUCGGCCACACUGGGAAUGAGACACGGCCCAGACUCCUACGGGAGGCAGCAGUAGGGAAUCUUCGGCAAUGGACGAAAGUCUGACCGAGCAACGCCGCGUGAGUGAAGAAGGUUUUCGGAUCGUAAAACUCUGUUGUUAGAGAAGAACAAGGACGUUAGUAACUGAACGUCCCCUGACGGUAUCUAACCAGAAAGCCACGGCUAACUACGUG